UCUCUUCUUUCUGCCUUAAUUUUUCCUUUUUCUUCCUUCGGGAAGUGUCUUCUUUUGCCUCACUUUGCUGAUCACUAGCAGAGUUUGCCUCAAAUAUGUCAUUAUUUAAUAUCCUUCUUUAUUUAAUAUCCUGAAUAUCCUUCUUGACUGCUUUAGCUUUGUUCUCUGCAACUUUCUUCCUAAAUUCAAGAAGAACUUCUUUACAGUCCUCUAGACGAAUCUUGGGCUCCCAAGUAUCAUCCUCUGAUGUAUAUCUUUUCCAUCGAACUUUAUACAGGAUGCUAUCCUUUUUGUGUGGCUGGGUCUCUAUUCUGGGAUGAAUGGGAAUUCCUUAAGACUUUAAACCUGGAACUGAUUCACGUUGGUCUUCAUGUCCAGGUCUGCUCCACCUCGAACACUCCUUCCCGUCCUCCUCACUGUCCCCCACGGCCUCUGCUGCUUUGGCGGCUGGGUCCUUCUCUUCACCCGCUGCUUCAAAUCCUUCUUGGACUUCAUGCAACUUGCGGUUGUUGUCAGCACCUGGUUCAGUCACCGUGGUUACAACUGCCCCUUCUGCAGCCGCAACCAUUGUAGGACCUCCGUAAACUGUCAAGAACCUUGUUUAUCCUUUUUAUGUCCACAAGGAAGGCUCCUUGUCUGCAUCUCAUGCUUAAGAAAAAUUAGGUUAUCAACAGUGUUUAUAUGUGUGUGUGUGUCUUAAUUUUCAUUUCCACGUGUCAGAUUGAGUCACAUUAUUUUAAAUUUCAGAUGACAGAUAAUGGACUUUCACCCUUGAAGACAGCACUGAGGCUUGCCAAGCCAUAUAUCUGUGAAUUUGAAGUGAGCACUUUUACCAUCAAGUAUACGAAAGAGCUCUUCAAUCUGAAGAAAUAUCAGCUGCCUCUGCAGGCAUCACGGGUGACCUUUGAUGAUUUGAGGGUGUUUGAUCAACAACUCUUGAAAUUGUCAGCGAUCCGGAGCUGCAGAGUCAUCCUACAUCCUGUGUUCUGCUCAUGCCUCCUAGGUCUUCAUGAGUUUGACCCCCAUCGUGUGCUCAGUUUUACAGCCAGUCUGCCCCAUCCCUAAGCUCUAAACUUAUUAUCCCAACUCCCAGAUUUCCCCCACUAUCUACUUACUGCUUUUGAAUCUAGUGUAGGAGAAGAAAAUAAUUUCUUAUGAAAUAACAAUUAUAAAUUGUGCAACAUAAACUGAUGCUAUUUAAAAACAAAUGCUUGGAUUUAAGGAAAAAUGUAAUUCUUCAAAAGAAGGAAAAUUAAUGACCUUAGUGAAGUGGUACUUCAAACUUCCAAUAGCUACCAAG
rnacentral:lncRNA from 1 species